GUAGGUGAACCUGCGGAAGGAUCAUUAUUGAAUGAACUUGGUGUGGUUGUUGCUGGCCCUCUCGGGGGCAUGUGCACACCCACCAUCCUCAUCUCUCCACCUGUGCACCUCUUGUAGACCUGGAUAGACUUUCCGAGGCAACUCGGUCGGGAAGAUUGCUGCGCUCUGUGAGCCAGCUUUCUUUGCAUGUCCAGGCCUAUGUUUUUCAUAUACCCCUAUAGAAUGUAACAGAAUGUAUCAUUGGGCCUUG
rnacentral:misc_RNA from 1 species